rnacentral:rRNA from 1 species
CAAACUGGGAUUAGAUACCCCACUAUGCUUAGCCCUAAACAUAGAUAAUUUUACAACAAAAUAAUUCGCCAGAGGACUACUAGCAAUAGCUUAAAACUCAAAGGACUUGGCGGUGCUUUAUAUCCCUCUAGAGGAGCCUGUUCUAUAAUCGAUAAACCCCGAUAAACCUCACCACCUUUCGCUAAUUCAGUCUAUAUACCGCCAUCUUCAGCAAACCCUCAAAAGGUAGAACAGUAAGCACAAUCAUUUUACAUAAAAAAGUUAGGUCAAGGUGUAACUUAUAAGGUGGGAAGAAAUGGGCUACAUUUUCUACCCAAGAACAUUUCACGAAUGUUUUUAUGAAAUUAAAAACUGAAGGAGGAUUUAGUAGUAAAUUAAGAAUAGAGAGCUUAAUUGAAUAGGGCCAUGAAGCACGCACACACCGCCCGUCACCCUC